ensembl:lncRNA
AGGGUUUAAUUUUUUAGAAUAAAUCUGAAAAUAAGUAAAAACAAGAGAUGGAAGGGACUUACUGAUGCUUUCUGCUGCCUCCGCUGUCUCUGCUGCUGUCUCCACUGCUCCCUCCGCUUCUGCCUCUGCUGCUCAGUGAUUCUGGGAUUUGAUCCCUGUUGUGGGGAACUUUUGGUCACAAGUGCUCCCUGUAGGGUCCCAGAAUGCACAGGCGUCACGCUUGAGGUCCUGGAGGGCAUGGGUAGUGCCUGGGUGGCAGAGACAGGAAUGCUUUGAUGCUCAGCAAGCCUCCGUUUUCUUGUCUUCAUGGUUCUGGAGGGAACUGUUAUUCCUUUCAGAGGCUCAGCGGACAGUGCCUCUGCAAACACUCCUGCUCCCUGUGGGGUCCCGGCAUGCACAGGGUUCCUGUCAGGUAAAGGUGCUUCCUGUGGGGACUUGGAAGGCAUGGGAGCACCCUGUACAGGAGAGGCUUGAUGCUUCUGCUGCAGCAACUCCUUCCUCAGUCGCUCAGGCAUCUUGAGCUUUUGCCUCUCUUGGGUCUUUUGAGGCACAGGUGCUCCCUUCUCAGAAGAGGCACAAGACGAAACCUGCAGGAGUUCCUGCCUCAGCGGCUGAGGGAGUUUUAGUCUUUGCCUCUCUGGGGUCUUUUGAGGCACAGGUGCUCCUUGAACAGAAGAGGCUCGAGCCGACAGCUGCAGCAGCUCCUGACUCAGUCGCUCAGGUAUCUUGAGCCUUUGCCUCUCUUGGGUCUCGUUGGGCUUCUGCUGCAGCAGCUCUUGCCUCAGCUGCUCAGGGAUCUUUGGUUUUGGCACCUUUGGGGCAGGCAUAGCUUCUGUCUGUAGAGACUUGGUGCACAUGGGUGUGUGUUGAGGAGAUGCUGUGGGCACUGGUGCUCUCUGUGGGGACCUAGCUUGCACAGGUGCUUCCAGUUCAGAAGCGGCCCUAAGCAGAUGUUGCCUCAGAUGCUCGGGGAUCAUGACCUUUCCUCUUCGUUGAGAGCCAGUGGUCACAGAUGGUCCCUGCGGGUACCCAGCAGGCUCAGGUGCUACCUGAGGUUUCUUCUCGGUCCACUUCCUUUGCUGUUGCCUCCCCUGCUUAGUGGUCUUCAGUAUUUCAUUAGAGAAUUCUGAGUCCCCACACUCAGCCCUCUCAGACUCAGCAAGCACAGGUGCUCCCUGAGGCUUCUUCUGCCUCCACUUCCUCUGCUGCUCCGUGGUCUUCAUUGUUGCAUCUGUAAAGCCUGAGUGUGGAGAGUCAGCCUUCUUAGAUGCAUAGUUGAAGACCAGGGAUGAGGUGUGGUCCCUCUUCUUGGUAUUUGCAUGCACAGGUGCUCCCUGUUGGGACCUGGGAGGCACGGGUGCACCCUGUGUCUUCUUCUGCCUCCACAGCUCCUUGGUCUUCAGUGUUGCAGCUGGGAAGCCUGAGUGCGGGGACUCAGCCUUCUCAGAUUCACCACUGAAGACCAGAGACUUGGGGCAUGAAGUUUCUCCUUCCUCCAUUGUUCCCCACCACUGCACUGAGGUGAAGUCCCCAUACUCAGACUCUUCAGAUAUAGGAGAAGAAACCUCCAUUAUUGCCCACCAUCGCCCUGCGGCGAGGGCAGCGGUGAGCUCAUCUGAGAGUUCAGGAGAUGAGGACUGCACUGUACUCUCGGGAAAACUUUUGGUGAUGGUUAACAAACUCAUGUUGAUGUUCGAUGUAAUGAUAAAAGAAGAUCCAAAUAAGUGAACAAUACACUGACUUUGUCUUUCUAUCUGUAAACACUGUGACAGAAAAACAGAAAGGAAACAGUUGAGUUGAGUAAACAUAUAAGAGCCUGCAAGUUGGUUGUCUAAAGUUAUUAUUAUUAUUAUUUUUAAAAACAGUGUAUGCCCAGUGGGGGUCCAUCAUACACUGUUUACCAACUAAUGUGCAUAACUCAGAUGCUCAUAAUGUAAAAGUAUAUACCCCCUUUUACAUGCAUAUCUAAUCAUUGUAAGAGGUAAUAUUAAACUAUCAAAGUUUUCAGUAUCAGCUUUCAGAGUUAAUCAUAAUGAAGGAGUGGUGGCGGGAGUAAUAAUUUAAAAUGGUCAUACUCUUGAUUUGGCACCACAAGAUUUGUUCUGUUAUAAUAUACUGAAAAGUGUUAUGUUUAUAGAGAGAUUAUAAUGCAUCAUUAAAUAUCAUUAUAUCAAUAUCAUUAAAUAUAUAUAAUAGUUAUUGUCUUGAUCAUUACUAAUUUACAUAUCUGAAACUUUCCACACAAACCUCCACUGUGUAGCACAGAGCAUAUUUUUCUCCAAGUUAUGAAAACAUUGAUUAAAAAUUCAGGUGUCCAAAUUGUAAAAAGUAUACUCACGAUAACUCGCCACAACUCGCUACAAAAUGCCUGAUUCCUCUGCACUCAUAUUUAUAGAGUAGCCUACUCACCGAACGUUCUAAUGGAAUGCAGCGAUCAUAAUGACGUAAACAAUGGAACACCCACUGAUCGGAAAUUUGUCUUAAAACAACACAGCUGCUUUAAAUAUUACAAUUAUUACUCAAAAAAAGAAAAAGAAAUGUUAGAUAAAUUUUAUUACAUAAACUCGUGAAAUAAAUAUAAUAUUCAAGGGCUUUAUGACAGCAGGGAGCAGCAGCCAGCGUGGCUUGUUGUCAUGGCAACCAUACGCAUUGCGCAUUGAAUCUCUGUACGGGAUGCGCUGAAAAAAAUAUGUACUUAUAAGUGUAUUUGGUCAUAAUCAGCAUCUGUUCUCACUUAUUUGAGCGCAUUUUACAGUCAUUGCUUUCAUGACUGGAUGCGCAGUGUACAGUCAAAGACUAUAGAAUACCCUAUAGUCUUAAGUUAAAAAUUAGAAGUACUUAAAAAUCCAUUGACUUGAGGCAGAUUAGUGUCACCUGGUGGAAAAAAUAAAAUCAUCUGUAAAACCAGUGUAGGCACUAGAUGCCUAUACAGCCCUAUUUAUAAAUAUAUACAGCUCGUGUGUUCCCUACUUACUAAGAACAGUGUUUUCAGACAUAAUUACUUACUUUUAUUAGGUUUUUAAUUUGGAUAUAUAUUUAGGGAUUAUCAAAGACUUUUUCC